UCAGGGUGUAUCUCCAGAAAAUUAUUUCAAACUGUGGGAAAUGUCCCUUCUGAACUCAUAUAUUUAUUUUCAGUCCCUUUUUUUUUGUGAAAGCUAAGACAAAAAUGGUCCAGAUUCAGAAAGGAGAAAAAACAGUAUGGAUUCCUGGGUUUUUCCCUACCUAGUGCACUUUUCCUGUGGUAACACAACAAAGGGGACUUAUCCUAUACACAGGUACUGUCAAGUUCAACUUUCUUCUAUUCCAAAGUGAUUUAACACAACCCUACAAAAGUAGAAUGAUAAAAAGUAUUUUUAAGAUAUGUCAGACCACCUUUUUGUCAUGACAGAUUUGUAUAAAUUAUCAGAAAAAAAUUGAGUAAAACUGCAAAUAAUUUUGCCUGUCUUAAUUUCCACAGUUGUUGGACUCACACAAAAGUUGUCAAUUUACACUAUUAAUAGAAUCAUUGAGCCUCUAUUUAGUAUUCGGAAAAUAAUUUCUGAGGAUAACUGUGGAAACAUUGUGACACAGUAAAAUACUACAAUGGCAUAGAUGAUGUACGUAAAAGGAGACAAUAAUAAUCUUAUAGAUGACAUGAAGAAGUGUUUUAAUGUUUUGUGUCAAACUGACAGGUUUUUUAAUUGAUAGUCUGAUUAUUAUUCCACUUAUUAUUAUUAUCUUAAAAUGCAACCAAAGAGAAGUAAAUAGAUGCAAAUUAUAUGUUUUACCACUUCUUUAAGUCUUGAAAAUAAAAUUCUUCUUCAACUGCUUCCUUUAAUGAUGACCAUUAUCUUCUACUCUAAUUUAUUCUUUUUACCAGAAUACUUUGCUGUAACUAUUAUUUAUUAUUAAACUAGUCAGCUUUUCUAUUAGAUAUGAUAAUCAAAUUCCUUUCUUUCUAAAGCCCAGUACAGGUCCAUACUAAAACCCAGGCCAUUUUACUGGGGUUAUAAUUUCUUUUCUCACUACCAGUUCUGUUAAUUUAGCCUUUCUGAAGUGAAAAACCUUCACUGCACUGAAUAAACUGUUUGCCCAAGGAGCCCAGUGAGGCUUGGAGUGAAAUCUCUGCUAAGAUAUGGGAUACAGCAAGAUUUCUGGGCAGAACUGAAAGUAUGAGCAGAGGUGCUUGCCUAUAGACCUAGCAGAGAUAAAGAUGGUAAUAGCUAGGCAAACAGCACACUUCCCAUGAUAUGUAGUAGGAGAUUAGGAAUAGGAAAAGGGGUGGGGGUAGGAGAGGAGAAGAAACCUUUUAGGGUUUAAUGAGAAGGAGUGAAAGCUAAGUCAACACUUGUGUGCUGGUUACUCAGCACUGGAGAGACAAGCAUGGAGAUCCCAGAAAGAUAUUUGAAAAGCAAAAAUUUUUCAAAUGACAAGAAAGUGAGGGGGUUUGGCAGUUAGCAAGCCUGAUGAAAGGAGGAGAUGAUUGUGAAAAGUGUCUGAGGAAGUCUUGCUCAAAGAUCUCCGGAGAAAGGCCUGAGAAGUUAGUCUAGUUAAUCACAGGUUAACUAUAUUGUCUGUGUAAUGUUGUAUCUGGAACUUCUAAAAUCUGAUUCUUCAAUUGACAGGAAGUUUUUAUGGUGAUAUUUUGAAGGUCAUUUCAUGUACUGCAAGAGGAAAUUCUCCAUAUAGAAGUUAUUCUAAGGCUGCAAAGAGCAGCUUAUUUUCAGGAAUCACUAUUUUUAGGUUUCCCAGGAGCCUGCCUUUGCAGUGGGAGCUCAGCAGUGUGCAUGGAGAAGGUGGCUGGACGUGGGCUGAGGCUGGCGUGCUCUCCAAAUGACAUUCAAGGUGCCAAACUUUCCCACGGAAAGAAGAUAAAUCUUCUGGCUUUUUGCUUUGUUCUUGCCAGUAGGCAACCUUCAGUCCUGGGUGUUCCUAGGGCUGAUGCUCUCACAUAUUCUCACUUCACAGAAUCAUGGAAUCAAUUAUCUUGGAAAAGACCUCUGAGAUCAUUGAGUUCAACUUAUAAAGAGUUGGACUGAAUACAAAGUUAGGAGUUCUACUCUCUAAUUUUCCAGGGCCCCUGCAAUCCAUCCACAUCCCAGCUUGAUCCCAGAAACCUGACCUUGGGCCAACCUGGCAGGACGUAGGUGAGACUGCAGAACUGAAAAGGGACAUGCUUCUGGGAUUAGCAUCCUCUCUAAUGUGUGAGCUGCCUGAUGCAAGCCUGGAGAGCUCUGCAGGCCAAAAGAGCAAUGUGAUACAUCAUGAACUCCAAGGCAGAAUUUUGACCACCUGCUUUUUAAAAAACUCCCUUUCAUGCAGCUUUUGAUACAUCAACUUACACUUCCAACACCAAAAUAGGCGCAUUUCCAUUGGAAGCUUUAACUCUGGGACCUUUUUGGAGACCUCAGGCCAUGAAUGAUCCCUUGCUGCUGGCCAGUGUUGCUGUGCAGUGUGCCCUACAGCAUAGAAACCGCUGAAUUUGUGGACCUACAUCUUGACAUAUUUCUUUGUGCUUUCAUUUUCAAGCUCCUUUGCUAAGGAACUUUUCUUGGUAUUUAUGGACUCCUAGGUACAUAAAGAGGCCUUCCUCCAGACCUCCGGAAUCUUAUUAUUAUAUUACAGAAAUGGAAUAACUGUUUCAUCUUACAAUCAAAAAUUUUACAGAGCUAUUAUAUUUUUCCUUGCCUGUGUUUAAUAGUGUUUUAUCAGUGCAAGAUGAUGACGUUUGUAAUUAACCUUUGAAAUCAAGAAAUCCUCUUCCCAAUUUUUCAAUUUCAUCCAGCAAAAAUGUCCAGAAUUUUUAUUAUUCGUGAUCACAGGGUGGGAACAUCUCUUCUAUGAAGACAGGCUGGGAAAAUUGGGGUUAUUCAACCUGGAGAAGAGAAAGCUACUCGGAGACCUUGCCAGCACCUUCCUAAAGAGGUUCCAAGAGAGCAGGGUAAGGACUUUUAAAAAGGUCACACAGUGCUAAGACAAUGGGGAAUGGCUUUAAACUGAAAGAGGGUGAGUUUAUAUUAGAAAUUAGGAAGAAAUUCAGAAUACUGUGAGGCUGAUGAGGCACUGGAACAGGUUGCCCAGAGAAGUAGUAGAUGUCCCAUCCCUGUGCUCAAGGCCAGACUGGAUGUGGCUUUGAGUAAUCUGGUCUACUAGAGGGUGUCCCUGACUGUUGGAAAUAGAUGAUCUUUAAAAAUCCUUCCAAAACAAUCUAUUCUAUGAUUACCUGCAGAUGUCUUUGCCCAAGGUAGAAUACAGAGGCCUUGAUCCAGUAUGCAUUUCUUGAAUUGAAUGACUUGAAUUAAAAAUUCAACAAUUCAUGUAAACACAUCUUGAUUUUUGAAAAAAAAAUUUAUUAAGGUGUAAAAGUGCUUCAUUUCAAUUAAAUUGAGAAUUGCAUUUUCAAGAGACAAUUUUUUUUAAAACUGACUUUAUUUUUAUUUCAUUUUUCUUUCUGUCUAUGUCAUAUGUCAAUAAAUCCCACCUUGAGAACAUUAAGAAUUAUGACUUGGGAAAAAGACCUCAAAAAAUAAACACUUCUUCUGAGUUGGAAACUUCUAGCACCAAUGACUGUUUUUGCAUUGAAUUUUCUGAAGCAGAACUGAGAACAAUACCAAAAAACUGAGCAGCCACAGGCUAAUAAUAAAACAGUACAAUAUUGCUGGAAAUUCCAGCAGAGAUCAUGGACAAAAAUAGUCACUUCGAAGGUCAAUUGUUGGGCAAGGAAUGAUGUUAGCUUAUAUUUUUUUCAUAAUGAAUAGGCUUCACAUUACUUAAAAAGAAAUAAGGAUAGAGUUGAAAUGAAAGUUUUAAAAAACAAUAAUAUUUGACUCACCAACUCCCAAGGUGUCUCAAUGUUUUGUCCUCAUUUUGUCUAUGACUUUAUUUCAGAAUCUCAACAACUUUUACUGAAUGGAACUUCCAUUUUUAAAAAGGAAGUUCUUAUUUCUGACUGCUUUUCCCAGUCUGCUGUGUCUUAGAUCUGUGACUUGAAUGUCCUUUAAAUCAGCACACAUAUUGUGGCCAAACACUCACUGUUUUAUUAUGAAUGUAGCAAUCCCUUCGACAAGUGACUGUUAUAAAUAUUAUUAAAUUAUUGAUAUAAAUAUAUAUAGUUAUAGAUAAAGAUAUACACAUAACAUUUUUCUAGUCUUUUACUUCCUGAAUAUGAAAAAAAGUAGGAAAUCUGAAUGUGCAACACUCCUUCCCUGAAAACAGCUACCUGUUACCUAAUUUUCUGGCAGGUGAAGCCUUGGGAAGAAAUCCUUCUUAGAAGGGACAAAAUCAUGAAUUCUCUUCCACCUCACUGGGAAUCAUAAUAAAUACUCAUUAUCCUAUGGGGCAAAAAAAUAAACAUUAAACAAUAGGGUGGGUUAAUGUUAUUGAUAAAGCUGAGUCUGAAUGGAAAACAGGUACAAGAAAGUGGAAGAAUAUAUGAAGAAAAAAUCAGGAAGACAGAACAGAAGGGACAAAGGUGAACUGGAAGUAAUCUUACAAUGAGUUGCCAUGAAUAACUGCACUUACUUCUUCAUUCAUAGAAUCAUAAAAUGGCUUGGGUUGUAAGGGACCUUGAAGACCAUCAAGUUACAUCUGCCCCAAUCUGACAGCAACAUGUAGGGCCAGAAUAAGAGACUGUCUACAUUUUGCUUGUCACCAGCUAAGCAGUAUGGCACAGGACAUUAUACUCAAUCUCAUUCUUCUAGUGAUGGCUCAGGAGAUGCAGGAAGUAGGUUAGCAUCAAACAUGUAAAGGGAUAUUUGGAGACUGGAACUCUUUCAUGGUUUAUAGACACUACCUCUAAGUAAAGUCCUAAAGUAGCUCCUUUUCUUUGAUAGUAAUUUUUCUUAAAUCUGUGCUAUCAGAAAGCCAGUGGCAUGUGGAAAGCAUUAUUAACCUUUGUAAAACAAGCCAGAGGAACUGCUAAAACUGGAAGCAUAACUAAUACUUUACAUUGACUUAUGAAAUUAAGGCUAGGCAGUCUUAGGAGAAAUCACAGAUCUCAUGGUUUCAGUUUUGUUGAGUCAGUGCUUAUUUUUGUACCAGUGAGAAGUUACCAUGGACACACUUGUCAUGACAUUUUGUCCACUUCUCCAGAUAAUGUAAGGAUUUUCUCAACUGUUCUUUGCCAUAAUGAGAAACUCUAAAAGCUUAGUUGUAUGAGACACAUUAAAUCAUCAUCUUUUUUUGGUACCACUUAGUGAGAUCCUUUCCAGAAUGACUGGAAUC